GACUGCAGGCCUUCUGUCCUAGGGGUCUUUUCCCACCCCCACACUCAGGAGCGUGUACAGAUGUUCCCUCUUCCUCCAAUAAAGUGUACCUGAAAUAUGCCAUACGUGUGCCCAGGAGCCACAGCCACAAGCAGGGACAUCUCAACCUCAGGACCUCUGCAUGGCAUCAUCAAGGAGCCAGAGACCCAGAAAGCCUGGAUGCCAAAGGUCACAUGGAGGUAAACAGGAAGCAUAGAACCCCAGGUGCUGUCAGGAGCUACCUGACAACCACAUGGGAAAUCAUUCCGAAGGUGAAGCUGCCACAGGGAGCGAGAGACACAGCCCUGGUGACUUUAUCAACUUCUGGAACAAACUAGCCUGAAGCCCUUCCUAUCUCUUGACUUUCCAGGCACCCAGUUGAGCUGAUUGGAGUCUCCACCUCUGCCCAGUGGAAGAUGCCAUGUUUCUGCUUCCUUGGCUAACUCCUUGGUUUGGUGGAGGACAUCCUGCAGCAGCUUUCUGAGAAAAGGUUUGUGCCUUAAACAAAGUCCCUUCAGUGUCAUCUAGCGAUGCUUCAGGAAGGAGCCCCCUGCUACCCCCAACAACAGCCUCAGCUCUGGAGACACCACCCCUCUCCCCAUGCCCACCGGCACCCACUCCUAAUGCAGAGAGGCAGAGCGUGCCUCCGAGAAUAAGGACUGUCUGCUCCGACCUUGAUGCCUCCCACAGCACCACCAGCUGGAUGAGCCCAGGAGCCCUGGGGACACGGGGUGGACUGGAGGACAAAGACGGCCCCCUCCCCACUCCACUUCACUCUCUCAGUUUCACUGCGAUUAUCCUCCUGUGCUCUGCGGUGUUACCGCCAAUGCUUUAAUUGCUUGGAAAACAAGUCAGUGGUCACCUGUGUGUUCCUGCCACAGAAAUGAGUAGGAUUUUUAGGUGCCACAACCUACCCAAGCUACUUCAAGGGGCUUCAUUUGUUUUUCAAGCGAGGUGCCUGGGGAAGAGGAACACCUACAGGAAAAGGUAAAUCACUGUUCCUUCCUGUUUUCUGCCAUUGCUUAUUGCUGAAGUGGCCAGUCUUCAUCUGAGUCGAGCAGGAGCAGUUACACAGCAAGGAGGCAGAGGGUCCCUCAGCCCCUGCCUGGAGUCAGCUGCCCGGCACCUGCCCCCGACGUGGCCUUGUCCUCGGGAAGGGGUCACGCUUCAGAUGCCUGAUCCAGCUCAGAUCUCAGGGCAGUCCUGGGGGAGGUGAACUCACCCUCCCCCAUGAUACCCUCCACCAUGUCAGAGGUCAGAGGGCAUGGCAUGGGAUUUAAGCCAAUCACCAGCUCACAAUUCUACAGACAAUUAUCUCGGAUUUGAGUUAAAAGGCCAGCCAGGACAGAACCCAGUCACCACACAUUCCUCUGCUAAUGUGUCGUUUCUUGGAAAUGCACAAACAAAUAAAGCAAAAAGCACGCCCCACCGCUGGUGAGUUCUCACGACUCUGCUUGCUGAUGUGGAUACACUGACAGUAGCUCUCAAGGGUUUUAACACUCCGGACAAUUUAAAAUAAAGGAGCUGGUUUAGGGAGGAAAGAAUACAGGAUGUUUUAAACACCAGAAAACUGAAAAUUCUUGCCCCAGGAAAUCAGUGACCCCUACGGAUGAGCACUUGGAAUGAAGGGUCACUGUAAAUGGAAAAAUGAGAACGUCUCUAUUACAAAGAAAGCCCAGGGUAAGGGAAUACCAAUUGGUACCAAUUAGAGACGGAUCAGAUAGGUGGGGAAAGUUCAGAUCCCCUCUGGAGUAUAUUUAUAUAUCCUCUCUAGAGCCAAAGCCUAGUUAACCUAGGCUAUCGGCUUCCCCCAUCGGUGACCCAAUCCACAGUCUCUCUGCAAGAUAUUUCAACGGUGGCUGACUCCACUCAACGUUAUUUGUAAAUAUGUUGCAGGGGACACAUUUUUUCCAACUGUCUGAAACACUGCAAACCGAAUUGCCUUCCAGAAUGAGGACAGUAAUGUGGACUGGCGAGGCAAGAGGGUGCCAGGCAAUAGGGAGUGGUGGGGCCUGUGGCUGAGCCCCAGGCACACAGAGGGGGACACCUGUGGCCAGACCUUCUGGGUUUAUCAACAGCAGCAGGACAACUGGAUUUAUAGGUAAGAUGUCUCCACUUUGAAAACAUUUUAGGCCAACACAAGAUGCCUGAGGCAAUUGAAGACUCCUAGACUAAAGUCACAGAAAAUGACGGCGGCUUUUCUCUACGCAUUGACCAAACCCUCUUGCCUCCCAUAAAGGGACAGCUGGUGGUACUGCAGUCUACCCGCAGGCUUCUGGCUGGGCCAGAGAGCU